GAUCUGGCUCAGGACGAACGCUGGCGGCGUGCUUAACACAUGCAAGUCGAACGAAAAGAGGGAAAGAGCUUGCUCUUUCCGGAAUUGAGUGGCAAACGGGUGAGUAACACGUAAACAACCUGCCUUCAGGAUGGGGACAACAGACGGAAACGACUGCUAAUACCGAAUAAGUUCCAAGGGCCGCAUGGCCCAUGGAAGAAAAGGUGGCCUCUACCUGUAAGCUAUCGCCUGAAGAGGGGUUUGCGUCUGAUUAG
rnacentral:rRNA from 1 species